rnacentral:rRNA from 1 species
UACAGAGGGUGCGAGCGUUGUUCGGAAUUAUUGGGCGUAAAGCGCUUGUAGGCGGCCUGUCAAGUCGCGUGUGAAAUCCCCUGGCUCAACCAGGGAAGUGCGCGCGAAACUGGCGGGCUUGAGUGCCGGAGAGGGUCGCGGAAUUCCCGGUGUAGCGGUGAAAUGCGCAGAUAUCGGGAGGAACACCGGUGGCGAAGGCGGUUCUCUGGGCCUUACCUGACGCUGAGGAGCGAAAGCGUGGGGAGCGAACAGG